UACACUCCUACGGGAGGCAGCAGUGGGGAAUAUUGGACAAUGGGCGCAAGCCUGAUCCAGCCAUGCCGCGUGAGUGAUGAAGGCCCUAGGGUUGUAAAGCUCUUUCACCGGUGAAGAUAAUGACGGUAACCGGAGAAGAAGCCCCGGCUAACUUCGUGCCAGCAGCCGCGGUAAUACGAAGGGGGCUAGCGUUGUUCGGAUUUACUGGGCGUAAAGCGCACGUAGGCGGACUAUUAAGUCAGGGGUGAAAUCCCGGGGCUCAACCCCGGAACUGCCUUUGAUACUGGUAGUCUUGAGUUCGAGAGAGGUGAGUGGAAUUCCGAGUGUAGAGGUGAAAUUCGUAGAUAUUCGGAGGAACACCAGUGGCGAAGGCGGCUCACUGGCUCGAUACUGACGCUGAGGUGCGAAAGCGUGGGGAGCAAACAGGAUUAGAAACCCGGGUAGUCCCA
rnacentral:rRNA from 1 species